GACGAACGCUGGCGGCGUGCCUAAUACAUGCAAGUAGAACGCACAGGAUGCACCGUAGUUUACUACACCGUAUUCUGUGAGUUGCGAACGGGUGAGUAACGCGUAGGUAACCUGCCUGGUAGCGGGGGAUAACUAUUGGAAACGAUAGCUAAUACCGCAUAAGAACAUUUACUGCAUGGUAGAUGUUUAAAAGGUGCAAAUGCAUCACUACCAGAUGGACCUGCGUUGUAUUAGCUAGUAGGUGAGGUAACGGCUCACCUAGGCGACGAUACAUAGCCGACCUGAGAGGGUGAUCGGCCACACUGGGACUGAGACACGGCCCAGACUCCUACGGGAGGCAGCAGUAGGGAAUCUUCGGCAAUGGGGGGAACCCUGACCGAGCAACGCCGCGUGAGUGAAGAAGGUUUUUCGGAUCGUAAAAGCUCUGUUGUUAAAGGAAAGGAACGAAGUGUG
rnacentral:rRNA from 1 species